rnacentral:rRNA from 1 species
GAAUGACUCUCGGCAACGGAUAUCUCGGCUCUUGCAUCGAUGAAGAACGUAGCGAAAUGCGAUACUUGGUGUGAAUUGCAGAAUCCCGUGAACCAUCGAGUCUUUGAACGCAGGUUGCGCCCGAAGCCAUUAGGCCGAGGGCACGCCUGCCUGGGUGUCACAC